rnacentral:rRNA from 1 species
GAGGUGCNGCGUAUNNGAUCANUAGNUAAAGGUGNGUAGCGAUAUAGUCAGUGUGAAUCUGCGGCUCACCGUAAAUUGCCAUGAUACUGUAUCUGAGUAUGGUGAGUAGGCGGAAUGAGUAAUGUAGCGGUGAAAUGCUUAGAUAUUACUCAGAACACCGAUUGCGUAGGCAGCUUACCAAGCCAUCACUGACGCUGAGGCACGAAAGCGUGGGUAGCAAACAGGAUUAGAUACCCUGGUAGUCCACGCCGUAAACGUUGAUUACUCGUUGUUGGCAAUACACCGUCAGCGACUGAGCAAAAGCAUUAAGUAAUCCACCUGGGGAGUACGUCAGCAAUGAUGAAACUCAAAGGAAUUGACGGGGGCCCGCACAAGCGGAGGAACAUGUGGUUUAAUUCGAUGAUACGCGAGGAACCUUACCUGGGCUUAAAUGUUUAGUGAUCGACCGGGAGACCGGUUUUUCCUUCGGGACACUUUACAAGGUGCUGCAUGGUUGUCGUCAGCUCGUGCCGUGAGGUGUCGGGUUAAGUCCCAUAACGAGCGCAACCCCUAUCGCCAGUUGCCAGCACAUAAUGGUGGGAACUCUGGUGAAACUGCCGGUGCAAACCGUGAGGAAGGUGGGGAUGACGUCAAAUCAGCACGGCCCUUAUGUCCAGGGCUACACACGUGUUACAAUGGUCGGUACAACAGGAUGCCAAUCCGCAAGGAUGAGCUAAUCCCAAAAGCCGAUCUUAGUUCGGAUCGGAGUCUGCAAUUCGACUCCGUGAAGUUGGAUUCGCUAGUAAUCGCAGAUCAGCCAUGCUGCGGUGAAUACGUUCCCGGGCCUUGUACACACCGCCCGUCAAGCCAUGGAAGCCGGGGGUGCCUGAAGUCCGUAACCGUAAGGAGCGGCCCAGGGUAAAACCGGUAACUGGGGCUAAGUCGUAACAAGGUAGCCA